CGCACCGCAUUGACGCCGGUGUUGCCUCCGGCGUCCACCUGCAAGCCCGCCUCCGCACUUUGAUCCACCCGCUAGUCGCCGGAAUAGACAGAUAUCUCCGCCGCUGCCGCCUUUAUCUCAUGGCCGGAAAAACAACCAGAUAUGCUUCGUUUCUUCCAAAACGAAGCCGGCGGAUGACGGAGAUGAUGUAGAACGCCUGCCGUGGAGCUUUGUGGCGCCGUUAUUGCGCCAAGACCGGCGAUCUUUGUAGGCGACCGGCGAGCUUUGUCAUCGCCCGAGGAGUUCGAUUUGAGGCCCGCCGUUGACUAUGGCCGUCUACUGCCCUGCCUGCCGUCCACCCGUAGCUUCGGAUUCGAUCAACUCCGCCAGUUGAAGCUCUAACCUUCUCUGCCGGAAAGGUGUUCGAUGAAUUGCUUAGAUGAAGAGGUUGAGGAAGAUGGUCUUCGACGACUCUUUGUCAGAAGAGGAGGAAGAAGAUGAUGAUUUUGAAAUCGCCAUUAUGGUGAUUGUUAAUAAUGACUUCCGGAGACCGAGACUAGGAUCAUAGUUUGGCCGCUUGUGCAUCAAUCGAGAUAGAGCAGAGGGCCAUAAGAAGCUUAUGAAGGAUUAUUUCAAUCCCAAUGCAACCUACCCGGAGAAGUAUUUUCUUCCAUGGUUUUGGAUGCACCGAUGUCUCUUCCUCACCAUUGCAAGAGCUGUGGAGAAGCAUGAUGAAUGGUUUAAAUUGAGGAGGUAUGCAUCAGGGGAGAUAAGUGCAAGCCCAUUAAUGAAGUGUGUCGCAGCUGUUCGAGUGCUUACAUAUGGGUGUUGGGCCGAUGCCAUUAUUGAUUAUGUCCGCAUCGGGGAAGAUUCAAUCUUGUAGGCCAUUCAAAGAAACACACGAGCCAUGAUUGAGAUGGGGCAGAGUAUUUGAGGGCUCCCAAUGAUGAAGAUGCCUAGAGGCUUUUGGCUUUGAGUGAAAAACAUGGAUGGCAUGGUAUGCUUGGAUCAAUUGGUUGCAUGCACUAGACAUAGAAGAAUUAUCUUGUGGGAUGAAAUGUUCAGUACAAAGGGCACCCAAAAGAUCCAACAAUCGUUCUUGAGGCAGUUGCAUUGGAGGAUCUAUGGAUUUGGCAUUCAUACUUUGGAUUGCCUGGCUCUCGUAAUGAUCUGAAUGUGCUGUCGAGAUUAUCACUAUUUGGAAUGCUUUUUGCUGGAGAUGCUCCUAUUGCAACUAUGUUGUCAAUGAUGACCGUCAGUCACAAUGGGUUACUACCUUGCAGAUGGCAUCUAUCUUCCAUGGACCACAUUUGUGAAGACAACCACGUGACCUAAAGGCAUUAAGAGAUCCCACUUUGCAAUGUGUGAAUAGUCUGCAAGGAUGUUGAGAGAGAUUCCGGUGUGCUUCAGAAGCGCUUUGCCAUUGUUCAUGGCCCUGCCGAGUAUUCGAAGCCACUGGUCCUAUGGCAAAUAAUGACAUGUUGCAUCAUCUUGCAUAACAUGAUCAUUGAAGAUGAGAGAGCCAUGCCAGAGAACUUUCUGUACAUCACCAAUGGGAUCCUGUUGAGCCGGAACACGAUGCAAACAACAUGCAUUGAUUCCUCGCAGCGCAUCGAAGCAUCGAGAACCAAAAAGUUCAUACCUAGCUCCAAGAUGAUCUUGUUUAGCAUCGGUGGCUACUCCAUAGCACUGGUUGAUUGUUGUGCUUCUAUCAUGCUCUUUACUUCAUUUGGACCCUUUUGCGUGUUUGAAUUCGAAUAAUUUGUUGUGAACUUUAAUUUUCUAAUAUUCAUGAAUUUUGUGAACUUUGAUUGUUAAGUUUGGAUUUAAUAUGUGUGCAAAUAUGUAGUUGAAAUGUAGUACAUACACAAAAACUUAGAAGAAUUGGUGAAAGUGUUUUUUAGGGAUUUAAGUUUUAAGGGUUUGGCUAGGAAUCGUUUUUCAUUAGCGGAUCAAAUAUAACGAGUGUAACGAGCUGUUUGAGCAGAAAUCCAAUUUGGGCUUUGGAGCGUAAGCUCCUGCGUGUCAAAAUUACUUUUUGCAAAUGUCAAAAUUUUGAAAGAAAAAGAAUCAAUAUGUACAUCAUCACACAUAAACGCUACUGGCAAAUUUUUAGGGGGAAAGAUUAGGCAUUUUGACCUGUGCAAAAAAAAAAAGACGAACGCCAAAUGUUAUUACUUAAUUUUGUUUUUUUUUUACCGACGAAGCACUGCUAUUCCGUUCAUCAUGAAAAUUGUCAAGCAAACUUGUUACACUAACAUGAACAUGUACAAUUUUUUUUUCAGAAUUUUAACAUUUAUUAUUACUAUUUCUGAAUUUACUGUUCAUCCAGAAGCAUAUGCUCCUCUGAGCCAAAACGGCCAUCCCACUAUUGAUGUGGCUAAAUUAUAAGGGACGGGCUAGAGAUGCCCUGAGUGAAAUGGAGGAGAAUUAUUUAUAGUUGCUAUUAAUUUAAUGAUAAAGGGUUUCCCCCCGCUUUAUAGAAAAAGCAUCAUCCGAUACAGUCAGCUCGCUGGGGCCGCAACACAAACAAGCCCAAAGGAAAAAGAGAGAAAAAGAAA